rnacentral:lncRNA from 1 species
AAUAUGAUCUGCAACGAUUUGAAAGAAAGAAAGAAAAUCCUUUUUGUUGGAAAGUGUUAAAAUGCGGGAUUGAACUUCCUUCUUUAGCUAUGAGAAAAAGCUGCACCGGAGCCGGCAGUAGAUGCUCGCCAGACGUCGAGAAAUCGGAGAGAAGGGGAAGAAAUUAGGUUUACUCGUGUUACCUAAUUUCUAACCGUUGGUUACUACUGUAAACGAUUAGUAGUAACUAUUGUAUUAGGAGAUAAUGAAAUCAGAUUGAAUUAAUUGAAUGUUAAUUAAACUGAUUUGUAUUAAUACUAAAGUUAUUGAACCAAAUGACCA